UUGAGGAUAAAGACAACUGGGAUUAUUUAUUUAUACUCCGUUCGGGCAUUUUCUUUGUACUAAAAGUUUAAUUAUAUUGAUAUUAUUUUUUUCAUACCUUUUUACUAUUUAUUUACUUUUUUUCGAUGAAUUAAAACAAUAACAUGAACCGAAGUCGUGUAACGAUCGACAUAGAAUUAUCUAUACUCCGUUAGAGCAUUUUCUUUGUACUAAAUGUUUUAUUAUAUUGAUAUUAUUUUUUUCAUACCUUUUUACUAUUUAUUUACUUUUUUUCGAUAAAUUAAAACAAUAACAUGAACCGAAGUCGUGUAACGAUCGACAUAGAAUUAUUUAUAAAUAAUUUAUUUCUUAUUUUUAUUUUUUGAUUUUUGAAAUAAAAAUAUAUCUUUGUCCUUUCUAAGGUUCUAAACUAUAUCUGUACCAAAUUUCAACCAAAUCCGUCAAAUAGUUGCGGAGAUUAAUGGUAUAAGCAUAGAAUGUUCGACGUGAUUCUUUAAUUUGACAUAACUUUUUUAUUUAUGAACCGAUUGACAUGAAACAAACACUAAAUGUAAAUUUAAGCAUCCCACAAUAUAUUCGUGAAAACCGCAUCCAACUCGGAUCAGCCGUUUCUGAGAUUAGCGCGCACAGACGAACAGACAAACAGACAAACAGACAAACAGACAAA